ACGCCCGUAGUUGGAUCAGCGGAUUUGGAGAACGGUCUGCCGAUGGGCUGUACUGUUCUCCUGUCCUAUUUUCUCUAGUUCGCUCUAGGUGCUCUUCACUGAGUGUCUAGAGUGGCUGGAACUUUUACUUUGAAAAAAUUAGAGUGCUCAAAGCAGGCGUCUCAGCCUGAAUAGUGGUGCAUGGAAUAAUGGAAUAGGACCUCAGUUCUAUUUUGUUGGUUUUCGGAGCAUGAGGUAAUGAUUAAGAGGGACAGACGGGGGCAUUCGUAUUACGACGUUAGAGGUGAAAUUCUUGGAUCGUCGCAAGACGAACUACUGCGAAAGCAUUUGCCAAGAAUGUUUUCAUUAAUCAAGGACGAUAGUUAGAGGUUCGAAGGCGAUCAGAUACCGCCCUAGUUCUAACCGUAAACGAUGUCAACCAGCGAUCCGCAGGAGUUAUUCAUGACUCUGCGGGCAGCUUCCGGGAAACCAAAGUUUUUGGAUUCCGGGGGGAGUAUGGUUGCAAAGCUGAAACUUAAAGGAAUUGACGGAAGGGCACCACCAGGAGCGGACCUGCGGCUUAAUUUACUCAACGCGGGGAUACUCACCCGGCCCGGACACCGUAAGGAUUGACAGAUUGAGAGCUCUUUCUUGAUUCGGUGGGUGGUGGUGCAUGGCCGUUCUUAGUUGGUGGAGCGAUUUGUCUGGUUAAUUCCGAUAACGAACGAGACUCUAGCCUACUAAAUAGAAGGCAAAUUAUUCGUUUGCUGUACUUCUUA
rnacentral:rRNA from 1 species